CAACUUGAGAGUUUGAUCCUGGCUCAGAACGAACGCUGGCGGCAGGCUUAACACAUGCAAGUCGAGCGCCCCGCAAGGGGAGCGGCAGACGGGUGAGUAACGCGUGGGAAACUACCCAAUACUCCGGAAAAACUAAGGGAAACUUGUGCUAAUACCGGAUACGCCCUCCGGGGGAAAGAUUUAUCGGUAUUGGAUG
rnacentral:rRNA from 1 species